AUUGACAAAUUAAUUUAAACACACAAUCACGCAGAAUCGGAAUGUCAUCGGACAACACAUAGUAUUAACACAUAUUUUAUACGUUUUGAUAGUAUUUUAUAUGAUAUACAUAAAAUACACACAUAACAUACACAGUAUCACAUAUGGUUUUCCAUAUAUGUUUCCAAAAAAUAAUUUUAAAUAACAAUACCAAUAUUACUAAUAUCCUGUAGCUCCGUAUUACGCAUCCUAUAAUUCAUUAUGGACUGCCGAACCUACCCGACAUUCGGUAAAGCACGAAUGAGUAUAAUACGAUUGAGCAUAUAAAUUAAUUUGCACAAUUUUGUCGUUAACAAAAUUUUUAAUGCUUCAAUCGUUUUGUUGUUCCGACAUUCACUAGGUCUUAUGUACUACCUGUUAGAACCCCGUCUACUAUCAUACCUGUGACCUGUUCCCAACCCACCGUAUCGAUUCUAUUACACUAACAUUUUUAUCUCUGUUUUGUGUAAUAUAAGGUGAUACCUAAUAAUUUCUUAUAGACGAG